GUGCUCGUAAAAAGGAAAGCUAGUUUGCAUCUCCCUCUACAAGGACGGAAUCAACCUUCUUGGGAGUGGACUAGCUGGCUGGGAAGCCUAAAUUGAUUAU
rnacentral:ncRNA from 1 species